AUACUUACCUGGAUGGGGUCUAUGGCUCAUCAAGAAGAGUCAUGGCCUAGACUAGUGGCCUCCAUUGCACUUGGGAGGAGCAUUAGUUUACCAUCUCCUCAAGUAGGAGAGUGGACAUCAUAAUUUGUGCUAGAGGGGAUACGCGUCCGCGCGGUCCCUAC
rfam:Zea mays cultivar B73 chromosome 10, whole genome shotgun sequence.